GGCCGCCUGGCGAAAUGGCAUCGCGUCUGACUACGAUCAAGCACUGGGUGUAAACUCGGUUACUUGAGAAAUCAGGAGAUUGCAGGUUCGACCCCUGCGGUGGUCA